rnacentral:tRNA from 1 species
GCCUUUGUGGUGUAAUGGUCAGCACACUCGGCGCGUAUUCGAGAGGUCCGAGGUUCGAGUCCCAGCGAAGGCA